GUCGAGCGGAAGGCCCCUUCGGGGGUACUCGAGCGGCGAACGGGUGAGUAACACGUGAGCAACCUGCCCCUGACUUCGGGAUAAGCCUGGGAAACUGGGUCUAAUACCGGAUACGACCAUUUUGGGCAUCUGGGGUGGUGGAAAGUUUUUCGGUUGGGGAUGGGCUCGCGGCCUAUCAGCUUGUUGGUGGGGUGAUGGCCUACCAAGGCUUCGACGGGUAACCGGCCUGAGAGGGCGACCGGUCACACUGGGACUGAGACACGGCCCAGACUCCUACGGGAGGCAGCAGUGGGGAAUAUUGCGCAAUGGGCGGAAGCCUGACGCAGCGACGCCGCGUGGGGGAUGACGGCCUUCGGGUUGUAAACCUCUUUCAGCAGGGACGAAGCUUAAGUGACGGUACCUGUAGAAGAAGCGCCGGCUAACUACGUGCCAGCAGUGGCGGGUUAAUUCA
rnacentral:rRNA from 1 species